CCCCUCUGCAUCAGGGGCUGGGCCCACUGGCUUUGUCAUUUCUCCCGUUAAGGGACACUGACUCCUUCGAGUCAGUUUUAAUUCAUGGUUGUAAAAUUCCAUGGUGAACACCAUGGUGGCCUUGAGUUUGUCGUCGGGGCGACGACAAGCAAUGGGGGGGUGGAUUGUAGCAGGUGACACUUUCUGCUACCUCGCUGUGCCCUUCCCAGCUACCUCCAGUAACAAGGAGGUGGGGCGACUACAGGGCAAUUAACCAAUGGGCACAAGAUGCAUCUUUUAAAAACCCUGAGCCAACAGCAUGGUAGUUCCUGCUGCUUUGGUGUGUGUGCCAGACUGGCCACUUUGGCCACACACAUGGGCCUCAGGCUAAGGCCUAGCUUUGAUGUAGCCAUCUUGGGCCUGCUUACAGGUAGCAUGGCCUUUAAUCCUGUACUGCUCCCAGUGUAGGUCGUGCUGCUGUCUUGUCUUGACCUUGUGUUUCUUUUGAUUUAGUCUUUAAUGUACUGUUUGUCUGUUUUUGUUUCAUUUUAGUUUGUCUACUCCCCAAGGUAGUCCAUUUAAUCUGGCAGGCCAGGAGCAUUAGCUUUUAAAGGGUGGCUGGUCAGUCAUACUAGUGUGGUGCAUCUUGCACUUGGUUGCUGUGUCACUCAGAAUGUUUGCUGUGGACUACUAAGUCAUGGGUUGCUGUGGUUAUUAUACACAUUCCAGUAGUAUGCCCCCUUAAGCACUGUGAGCUCCUGCCUUGCUCUUGCCCUAAAUAAAAAGAACUACUUUUUGUG